UCCGUAGGGCGCAAGCGUUGUCCGGAAUUAUUGGGCGUAAAGAGCUCGUAGGCGGCUUGUCCCGUCGAUUGUGAAAGCCCGAGGCUUAACCUCGGGUCUGCAGUCGAUACGGGCUAGCUAGAGUGUGGUAGGGGAGAUCGGAAUUCCUGGUGUAGCGGUGAAAUGCGCAGAUAUCAGGAGGAACACCGGUGGCGAAGGCGGAUCUCUGGGCCAUUACUGACGCUGAGGAGCGAAAGCGUGGGGAGCGAACAGG
rnacentral:rRNA from 1 species